UACGGAGGGAGCUAGCGUUAUUCGGAAUUACUGGGCGUAAAGCGCACGUAGGCGGCUUUGUAAGUUAGAGGUGAAAGCCUGGAGCUCAACUCCAGAAUUGCCUUUAAGACUGCAUCGCUUGAAUCCAGGAGAGGUGAGUGGAAUUCCGAGUGUAGAGGUGAAAUUCGAUAGAUAUUCGGAAGAACACCAGUGGCGAAGGCGGCUCACUGGACUGGUAUUGACGCUGAGGUGGACGAAAGCGUGGGGAGCAAACAGG
rnacentral:rRNA from 1 species